rnacentral:rRNA from 1 species
GAUGAACGCUGGCGGCGUGCUUAACACAUGCAAGUCGAACGAGAAAUGGAGACGGAAACCUUCGGGCGGAAGGCUUCAUUUCGAGUGGCGGACGGGUGAGUAACGCGUGGGUAACCUGCCUCAUACAGGGGGAUAACAGUUGGAAACGACUGUUAAUACCGCAUAAGACCACAGCACCGCAUGGUGCGGGGGUAAAAACUCCGGUGGUAUGAGAUGGACCCGCGUUCGAUUAGCCAGUUGGCGGGGUAACGGCCCACCAAAGCGACGAUCGAUAGCCGAUCUGAGAGGAUGACCGGCCACAUUGGGACUGAGACACGGCCCAAACUCCUACGGGAGGCAGCAGUGGGGAAUAUAGCACAAUGGGGGAAACCCUGAUGCAGCGACGCCGCGUGAGUGAAGAAGUACUUCGGUAUGUAAAGCUCUAUCAGCAGGGAAGAAAAUGACGGUACCUGAGUAAGAAGCCCCGGCUAACUACGUG